rnacentral:rRNA from 1 species
UAACACGUGAGCAACCUGCCUUCGAGAGGGGAAUAACGGCUGGAAACGGUCGCUAAUACCGCAUAAUAUACAGGAGGGACAUCCCUUUUGUAUCAAAGAUUUAUCGCUCGAAGAUGGGCUCGCGUCCGAUUAGGUAGUUGGUGAGGUAACGGCCCACCAAGCCGACGAUCGGUAGCCGGACUGAGAGGUUGAACGGCCACAUUGGGACUGAGACACGGCCCAGACUCCUACGGGAGGCAGCAGUGGGGGAUAUUGCACAAUGGGGGAAACCCUGAUGCAGCGACGCCGCGUGUGGGAAGACGGUCCUCUGGAUUGUAAACCACUGUCCCCAGGGACGAAGAUGACGGUACCUGGGGAGGAAGCUCCGGCUAACUACGUGCCAGCAGCCGCGGUAAUACGUAGGGAGCAAGCGUUGUCCGGAAUUACUGGGUGUAAAGGGAGCGUAGGCGGGAUGGCAAGUUGGGUGUUAAAUCUACCGGCUCAACUGGUAGUCGCACUCAAAACUGCUAUUCUUGAGUGAAGUAGAGGCAGGCGGAAUUCCUAGUGUAGCGGUGAAAUGCGUAGAUAUUAGGAGGAACACCAGUGGCGAAGGCGGCCUGCUGGGCUUUUACUGACACUGAGGCUCGAAAGUGUGGGGAGCAAACAGGAUUAGAUACCCUGGUAGU